rnacentral:rRNA from 1 species
UGGGGAAUAUUGGACAAUGGGCGAAGGCCUGAUCCAGCAAUGCCGCGUGAGUGAUGAAGGCCUUAGGGUUGUAAAGCUCUUUUACCCGGGAUGAUAAUGACAGUACCGGGAGAAUAAGCUCCGGCUAACUCCGUGCCAGCAGCCGCGGUAAUACGGAGGGAGCUAGCGUUGUUCGGAAUUACUGGGCGUAAAGAGUACGUAGGCGGUGAUUCAAGUCAGAGGUGAAAGCCUGGAGCUCAACUCCAGAACUGCCUUUGAAACUAGAUCGCUAGAAUCAUGGAGAGGUGAGUGGAAUUCCGAGUGUAGAGGUGAAAUUCGUAGAUAUUCGGAAGAACACCAGUGGCGAAGGCGACUCACUGGACAUGUAUUGACGCUGAGGUACGAAAGCGUGGGGAGCAAACAGGAUUAGAUACCCUGGUAGUCCACGCCGUAAACGAUGAUAACUAGCUGUUCGGGCUCUCAGAGCCUGAGUGGCGCAG